AAAUGAAGGAAGCAUGGUAAUAUGUGCAAAAAUUGAAUUGGGUCUCUAAGUCUGCCUUCUUUGAUGUCAUUUUGGGCUUUGAUUUGAGGGUAUAGUUCGGCAACAAAACA